UACGAAGGGGGCUAGCGUUUCUCGGAAUUACUGGGCGUAAAGGGCGCGUAGGCGGACCUGUCAGUCAGGCGUGAAAGCCCAGGGCUCAACCCUGGAACUGCGCUUGAUACUGCGGGUCUAGAGUGCCGGAGAGGAUGGUGGAAUUCCCAGUGUAGAGGUGAAAUUCGUAGAUAUUGGGAAGAACACCGGUGGCGAAGGCGGCCAUCUGGACGGCAACUGACGCUGAGGCGCGAAAGCGUGGGGAGCAAACAGG
rnacentral:rRNA from 1 species